rnacentral:lncRNA from 10 species
CCAGGCUGGAGUACAGUGGUGUGAACAUGACUCACUGCAGCCUCAGUGUCCUGGGCUCAAGGGAACCUCCUGCAUAAGCCUCUGGAGUAGCUGGGACUACAGGCAUGUGCCUCCAUGCCCAGCUAAUUUUCUUUUCUUUUUUUCUUUUUGUAGAAAUCAUGUUUUGCCAUGUUGCCCAAGCUGGUCUCAAUCUUCUGGGAUCAAGAAAUCCUACCACCUUGGCCUCACAAAAUACUGGUAUUACAGAUGUGAGCCACUGCACCCAUCUGACAUUGGAGUUUUGAUAGGGAUUGCAUUGAAUCUGUAGAAUACUUUGCUUUGAGAACUAGAUUAAGUAAUUCCUGCAAGGCAAACCAAGUGAUGAUGAGCUCUCUCAGCUUCUGUUUGUCUGAUAAACUUUCUAUUCUCUCUCACUUCUGAAGGAAAGCUUUGCCAGGGUUUCAUUCAUUUUAAAGCUAACAGAAAAACAACAGAUUUUUAUAAUUAAGUUCCUGAGAAACCAUGAUAAAUACAGCAUUACACAUACUGUCGAUGAUAUUUUGGAUUUUGUAAGACACCAGAGAUCAAAACAUGCCAAAUUGGACUUCUUGUCAUUGUCUAUACAAACAAAACUCACAGACAUCAAAGCCACUAUGACCAUGCUGCUGAUGCAAGGACUGGUGUGUGCAAGAAAGUUUGUAUUUGGAACCAUCUCUAUCUUACACUUUUCAAAGUAAGAUAACCUAGGUACUUCCUACUUAAAACUCACAUGUCAAUAUGUUUUUGUGCUUCUCAAAACCUUCCUGGGCUAAGGCACAUGGAGCAAAUGUUAAUUUGCUCAAGAGUCCUGUCCUUUGCCUGUGUUUGUUACCAUUAAACUAUGACAUGGGCAUCAUGGCUUCUCCUGAAGUCAUUGUUUAUGCUUUCAUCAUAUUAUUCUCCCUUGCAAAUGCUAUUGUUCCUGAGUAUAAUAAAUCACCGGAUUUCCUUAUCGCAAGCUUGUUUGCCUUUCUUACUUGCUUUCUCUGUUAUCUAAUAUUUUAGUAAUAAUAACAACUACUUUCCAUUGAGUAGU